rnacentral:rRNA from 1 species
UACGUAUGGGGCAAGCGUUAUCCGGAUUUACUGGGUGUAAAGGGAGCGCAGGCGUCCUGGCAAGCCUGAUGUGAAAUACCGGGGCCCAACCCCGGGGCUGCAUUGGGAACUGCCAGGCUGGAGUGCCGGAGAGGCAGGCGGAAUUCCUAGUGUAGCGGUGAAAUGCGUAGAUAUUAGGAGGAACACCAGUGGCGAAGGCGGCCUGCUGGACGGUGACUGACGCUGAGGCUCGAAAGCGUGGGGAGCAAACAGG